rnacentral:lncRNA from 1 species
ACGGUAAAGACUGGCACCAAAAGGAGAAGGAGAAAAAAAAUCAUGGAGAUAACAAAGACAAACCAGGCAGAGGAGGAAAUUUUUGAAAAGUAAAUUAAUAUCCUUGGGGAGUUUCUAGAUGAUGCUGAGGGAUACAACCGAGCAAAGUAAGAGAGCAAAAAGCAAAGGAAGUCAUCAAACCAGGGCCGAGUGCUGGAGGAGCCAGUGCAGGAGCCCUGGCUGAAGCUAAGGAAGGGCCAGCAAGCCAGCUUGAGAGGUAAAAGAGGCCUGACUCUGUCAGGCUCCAACCUCCAUGCUUACACACAAGACAAGACACGUAAGUGUAGAUACAUAAAUGUAAUACAACAUCUUCAGCAAGCUGAGCGGGACAGGAACGUCCAGGAGCCGGAGCUGUGUGUGCAGAGCGGCGUGAAGAUGGAGUUCUCAGGGGUUGCAAGAUGGAGAAGACUUCAGAGUGUGGUCAGCGGAGCAGUGCAAACAAGGAGGGUGGGGGGAGACAGCGGCUAUCGUUCUAUAAUUUAAGGCUCAGGAACAGACAAUAGUUGGGAUUUUUUUUUUUUUGGAAUUGGAAUAUGUUCCCGAAAUUCAAGGAGGUGGCCCAUUUUUCAAAUUUAGGGAGAUAAAAAAAAAUCUACAGAUUAAAAUACCUUAUACAGCAAUGAAUUAUAAAAUCAGGGUCUCAUGUGGCCCGGAAUGUCCUAGAACUCACUGUGUACCAGAGAAUGACGCUACACUCCUGAUCCUCCUGUGUCUACUUUCUGAUUGCUAGGGAUACAUACAUACCAUGCCCGGCUCUCUCUUAUUUGUAUACACGUGGUGUGUAGUAUCUGCAUUUAUUUAGGUCAAAGUCUUGGAGGUGGGAUGGGCAGGUCAAAGGUAACUCCAUUCUCUCCACUUUUGUGAAAUAGGUUUUUUUUUUAAUGUAUUUAUUUUACUUUUAUUUGUGUCUGUGUGUUUGCAUACAUAUGCGUAGGUGGUUUACAAAGGGCAGCAGAGGGUGUAGCGUGUCGCAGAGCUGGAGUUACAGGUGGUCGUGAGUCCCCUGAAGUGGUGCUAGGAUCCGAACUCUAAAAGAACAGAAAGUACUUUAACUGCUGAACCCCCUUCAGCCCCUUGAGAUAGCUUCUUACUGGGUAGCCCAGGCUGGCCUCUAGCUCACACUAUUCUACCUCAGUCUCCAGAGUGCUGGAAUCCCCAGCAGUUAUGACUCUGGAUUUAAAUGAAUAAUAUUACAGUCUUA